ensembl:lncRNA TRDN-AS1 TRDN antisense RNA 1
ACCCAGAGGUUGCAGUAAGUCUGGAUGCCACAUCAAACUGUUUGUGGUACUUCUAAACUUCGUGGAAGAGCCCUGUUUCAUAAAUCUGAGACAGCCUUGGUCUGAGGGAGCAAAGACAGAGAAUUCACGUGCUGCCCAGGCAUAGCCACAUAGCAGGUGGACAUCCCUGGACACUUUUCUGACAAAGCACGCAAUGUGGGGACAACACAGAAAUCCAAGAAAGGCAAGACCAAUUUCAAGGCACUAAAUAAGUGGACUGAGACAAGAAGUACACAGAUACUUCCCAGAACAAAACCCUCAUUGGAUUUUCCUGGAAGUACGGAGAGUUACAUCCAGAGAACUCUGAACAUUUUGGAAGGACCCCAAUCCUGCAAACAAUGAAUGGCAAUAAAUCCUGGGACUGGAAAGGUUUAAUGAAGCCAGCUGUCAUGUUGAUGAGACUCAUGUGUCAAGGAACUGAAGAUGGUCCAUAGCCAACAGCCAGCCAGGAACUGAUUGGCUAGUAGUCCUUGAGGAACUGAAUCUCACCAACAACCAUAUAGUGAACUUGCAAAUGGUGCUUCCUCAGUUGAAACUAAAGAUGAGACUGAAGUCCUAGUUAACACUUUGUUUGCCACCUUGUAAGAUUGUGAAACAGAGGCCUGAGCUAAGCCAUGCCCAGAUUCUUGAUCCACAGAAACUGUGAGAUAAUAAAUGUGCAUUGAUUUAAGCCUCAGAUUUUGUGGUAAUGCUUUACAAAGCAAUAAGUAACUAAUGCAGUAUUCAACAAAUUUUUUGAAAAAAAAAAGAUGCUUGAAGACCUGUAUUUAAUUAUUUUUGUGAAGAAUACUCAAUGUAUACUGACUGCACCUGGGUUUUUAGUCUUAACCAAAUCAUAUACCAGUUUUAUGACCUGGCAAAAAUGUUUUUCUCUCUCUCUAGAGGUCACUUUCUUCAUCUGUUAAACGAGGUAAUUAAUUUAGAUGAUCUUUAAAAUGUCCACUAGAUUUCAUACAUCUAUCACAUAUGAUUUCAUGUAUAUGUAAUGAAAACAAAUUUUAUAUAUAUACAAAAUUUAUUUUCACUUGCAUUUAUGAAACAGGAGAAACAAAAUAAAAUUACAUUUAUUUAUUUUAAUUUAAUCUUGAAAGUAAAUUCAUGUUAUCUUCUAAAAAUGUUUCAGUUUACAAUUCAUCCAUAUUAACUUUAAUAAAAUGAUAUUUGGUUAUCU